rnacentral:lncRNA from 1 species
GUAAUAUUUUCUGGAGACAAUAUAUUUUAAACGCUAUUAAACAAGAUCAAGGUUUCAGUGGCGUAGCACAAGACUGAGUGUAGCAUUGUAAGCAUGACAUUAUUGUGCUAGCAAAUAAUUUUACAAAACACUUUUUUCAAUAAAAUGUUCACUAUAAUCGUUCAGCUUAUUAUGCGCUGCCACCUCCCUUGCUUACAUUUUGCUUAUGGUUUAAAAAAAAAUCUAUUUUGAUGUGAAAUUAACAUUUUUAUCACUUCCCUUUUACAACCAAAAAAGGGGGAGGGUAGAUUUUUUCCCCAGAAAUCCAUAUACAAACUUACUAGGAUAUUUUCCAAAAGUCCUACAAUCUUUACUUAAACAAAAUAUUACAGGAAGUAUAUUCUCCACAUCUUAACGUACUUAGAAAUAUUUUCGGAACCGCAAUAUAUCUCACUGAGUAUAUAAGGUAAUAUGAAAAAAUAAUAAAAUACCAUUACGAGUAAGGUAUUAUAAAUGCCUUAUAUAACCGACGAAUUCCAUGGGGGUGUAGCAGUGGGGACUUCUGAUUGCCGUAACAGUGAUUCUAAACAAUCAACCUAAUUGUGUCAACAAAAUGGAGGUCCAUGCUCCCCCUUAUGAAAGAAAUCCGCUUCUGAUUUUGUCCCUGUAAGUGAUUUUUUUUAGGGUAUGUCCUACAUCUUUAGAAUAAAACUGAAUUGAAAAUUCAAAUGACGCAUCCCCCCCAAAAAAAUAACCCCCACACACGUAUUAGAUAGAAUACAAAGGUAACAAAGAAACAGGCCGGUAACAACCGUUGCCGGAUAGUUUUUCUGCACGAGUAGUCAGAUC